UGGCUAAGGUGUCUCGGCUAAUGUGUCUUGGCUAAGGUGUCUUGGCUAAUGUGUCUUGGCUAAUGUGUCUUGGCUAAUGUGUCUUUGCUAAGGUGUCUUGGCUAAUGUGUCUUGGCUAAGGUGUCUUGGCUAAGGUGUCUUGGCUAAGGUGUCUUGGCUAAGGUGUCUUGGCUAAGGUGUCUUGGCUAAUGUGUCUUGGCUAAUGUGUCUUGGCUAAGGUGUCUUGGCUAAGGUGUCUUGGCUAAGGUGUCUUGGCUAAGGUGUCUUGGCUAAGGUGUCUUGGCUAAUGUGUCUUGGCUAAGGUGUCUCGGCUAAUGUGUCUUGGCUAAUGUGUCUUGGCUAAGGUGUCUCGGCUAAUGUGUCUUGGCUAAGGUGUCUUGGCUAAGGUGUCUUGGCUAAGGUGUCUUGGCUAAGGUGUCUUGGCUAAUGUGUCUUGGCUAAGGUGUCUCGGCUAAUGUGUCUUGGCUAAUGUGUCUUGGCUAAGGUGUCUUGGCUAAGGUGUCUUGGCUAAGGUGUCUUGGCUAAUGUGUCUUGGCUAAGGUGUCUCGGCUAGUGUGUCUUGGCUAAUGUGUCUUGGCUAAGGUGUCUUGGCUAAGGUGUCUUGGCUAAUGUGUCUUGGCUAAUGUGUCUUGGCUAAGGUGUCUUGGCUAAUGUGUCUUGGCUAAUGUGUCUUGGCUAAGGUGUCUUGGCUAAUGUGUCUUGUCUAAGGUGUCUUGGCUAAGGUGUCUUGGCUAAUGUGUCUUGGCUAAGGUGUCUUGGCUAAUGUGUCUUGGCUAAUGUGUCUCGGCUAAUGUGUCUUGGCUAAGGUGUCUUGGCUAAGGUGUCUUGGCUAAUGUGUCUUGGCUAAGGUGUCUUGGCUAAGGUGUCUUGGCUAAGGUGUCUCGGCUAAUGUGUCUUGGCUAAGGUGUCUUGGCUAAUGUGUCUUGGCUAAUGUGUCUUGGCUAAUGUGUCUUUGCUAAGGUGUCUUGGCUAAUGUGUCUUGGCUAAGGUGUCUUGGCUAAGGUGUCUUGGCUAAUGUGUCUUGGCUAAUGUGUCUUGGCUAAUGUGUCUUGGCUAAGGUGUCUUGGCUAAUGUGUCUUGGCUAAUGUGUCUUGGCUAAGGUGUCUUGGCUAAGGUGUCUUGGCUAAUGUGUCUUGGCUAAUGUGUCUUGGCUAAGGUGUCUUGGCUAAGGUGUCUUGGCUAAGGUGUCUUUGCUAAGGUGUCUUGGCUAAUGUGUCUUGGCUAAGGUGUCUUGGCUAAGGUGUCUUGGCUAAUGUGUCUUGGCUAAUGUGUCUUGGCUAAUGUGUCUUGGCUAAGGUGUCUUGGCUAAUGUGUCUUGGCUAAUGUGUCUCGGCUAAUGUGUCUCGGCUAAUGUGUCUUGGCUAAGGUGUCUUGGCUAAUGUGUCUUGGCUAAUGUGUCUUGGCUAAGGUGUCUUGGCUAAGGUGUCUUGGCUAAUGUGUCUUGGCUAAUGUGUCUUGGCUAAUGUGUCUUGGCUAAUGUGUCUUGGCUAAGGUGUCUUGGCUAAUGUGUCUUGGCUAAUGUGUCUCGGCUAAUGUGUCUCGGCUAAUGUGUCUUGGCUAAGGUGUCUUGGCUAAUGUGUCUUGGCUAAUGUGUCUUGGCUAAUGUGUCUUGGCUAAGGUGUCUUGGCUAAUGUGUCUUGGCUAAAGUGUCUUGGCUAAGGUGUCUUGGCUAAGGUGUCUCGGCUAAUGUGUCUUGGCUAAGGUGUCUUGGCUAAUGUGUCUUGGCUAAGGUGUCUUGGCUAAGGUGUCUUGGCUAAUGUGUCUUGGCUAAGGUGUCAUGGCUAAGGUGUCUUGGCUAAUGUGUCUUGGCUAAGGUGUCUUGGCUAAUGUGUCUUGGCUAAUGUGUCUUGGCUAAGGUGUCUUGGCUAAGGUGUCUUGGCUAAUGUGUCUUGGCUAAUGUGUCUUGGCUAAUGUGUCUUGGCUAAUGUGUCUUGGCUAAGGUGUCUUGGCUAAGGUGUCUUGGCUAAUGUGUCUUGGCUAAUGUGUCUUGGCUAAGGUGUCUUGGCUAAUGUGUCUUGGCUAAAGUGUCUUGGCUAAGGUGUCUUGGCUAAGGUGUCUCGGCUAAUGUGUCUUGGCUAAGGUGUCUUGGCUAAUGUGUCUUGGCUAAGGUGUCUUGGCUAAGGUGUCUUGGCUAAUGUGUCUUGGCUAAGGUGUCAUGGCUAAGGUG